rnacentral:rRNA from 1 species
UACAUAGGAUCCAAGCGUUGUCCGGAUUUACUGGGUGUAAAGGGUGCGCAGGCGGACUUGUUAGUCAGAGGUGAAAUCUCACUGCUCAACAGUGAAACUGCCUUUGAUACUGCAGGUCUUGAAUCCAGAAGAGAGUUGUGGAAUUCCGAGUGUAGCAGUGAAAUGUGUAGAUAUUCGGAAGAACACCAGCGGCGAAGGCAGCAACUUGGUCUGGUAUUGACGCUCAGGCACGAAAGCAUGGGGAUCAAACAGG